CCGCCAUUUUUUUUUCGAGCACUGAUUGAAAGCGUAUCGUUAUCCGUAUCCGUACGGCGUAUUUUCCUUCCUCAAAUUUUCUUCAUAAAAAUGUAAUUUGUGUGGUAACCUAGCCUAUAAUUUCUACUUGGAAAUUCCAGCUGAUCAUGUGGCCUGAGCAGAACCUGAGCAUCUGUACAUUUUGCCAAGAUGUCGUCUCUUUUUCCUGUACCGGCUGUUUGUAAGAAUCACUUCAGAACAAAUCAGUCUGGGAAAGUCUGAGCUUCGUCGUUGCUGCCAAUGUACACAUGGAUUUAAUGCAGCCAGGUGUUCCUCUUGCUACCUGUACUGCUGUGUGUUUCGUCAAAUGAAGAAACAUGAACAACUGAACAGGAUUAACAUAACAUAUUCGUUGUUGCAGUCUACAUCACACAUUUUGUUUUUGUUUGAACAAUAGCUAUCAGAUAUUGUUUUCCAAAUAUUUGGUUUAUCGUGUUUGUUCGCGUUGUUGGCUUGUUGCUGUCCGCUGUGGUACGUUGUUUCAGCCUCUGCUGGUGAUAGAUCUUUCUGCAUCAAAUUCAAUUAGCCGUUCCUUGGUGCUGGACUGCUGGUGUCGUGGUACCGAAAUCGCAUCAUUAUUUUGUUAAAUUGUCAUCGUGACUGCAGUUUACCGUUAAUAAGUUAAGAAGCAACAAAAACAAAUAUGGGAUGUCUAUGUCAACAAAUAAUAAACAUGUUUUCGGGAUUGGGAAAGGAAAGUGGAGGAUGUUGGAGAGGGGGAGGAUAUUUCAAGUUUGGAUAAAAAAUCAGUUAAUCUAUAACCCUACAAAUGUUGCCCUACCAAUUAAUCUCCAAACCCCACAAACAUAUACCUUCCAAUCCUUCAAACCCCGAAAACAUACACCACUAACCCUUAAAUUUAUACCCUUAACCCUAUAAACCAAUGUUAAACCUUAACCAUGUAAUAUCUGUAAUAAAUAAAAAUAAAUAUAUUAUAUGAACCAA